AAGUCGUAACAAGGUCUCCGUAGGUGAACCUGCGGAGGGAUCAUUACAGAGUUCAUGCCCUUCGGGGUAGAUCUCCCACCCGUGUUAUCAUACCAUUGUUGCUUUGGCGGGCCCGCCUCGGCCACCGGCUCCGGCUGGUGAGCGCCCGCCAGAGGCACCCCAAACUCUGAAAUUUAGCGUCCGUCUGAGUACUAUAUAAUAGUUGAAAA
rnacentral:misc_RNA from 1 species